rnacentral:misc_RNA from 1 species
GAAAUGGCUAAACGAGUUCGCUUCCUCUACAGAGUCUCUCUUAUUGCGACAAACCCACCCAAAAAUCCCAUUUCGUUUCAUGCCUCUUUCUCCUUCUCCUCAGUUCCUACACCCCAACUCGAACAAACCCAACAAAACGAAAUCCUACCAAACAGUAGCAACACUAGUAGCGGCGAAGACCAGGAACGCUAUGAACAAGUGGACAAGCUUCGAGUUCUCCUUCAACAAGGCAGCAAAGAAGCUGCCUACACCUUUAUCAAAUCUCUUAUUCUGUCAAAAUCGUCAUUCUUUACACCCUCUGAUCUCCUUUCUUGCUUCUCUUCAUGCUUUCCUCCAUUACGAUUCAACCUCUCGAACAUGUUAUUUUCUGUUUGUUGCGAGUUAAAAAUGCUCGGCGAAGCUACGGAAGUGUACGAUUUGAUGAGGAGAGAUGGUAAGCUUCCUUCACUUGCUUCUUUGAGUAUGUUACUUAAUUCUUUGGUGGACUCGAAGCAAUUUGGUAAGGUUCUUGUUUUGUUUACGGAUAUUGUGGAGUCCGGUUUUAGGCCUGAUACAGCUAUGUAUGGUAAGGCGGUGCAGGCCGCAGUGAAAUUGGGGGAUGUAAAGAGGGGCAUGGAGUUGCUGGAUUCCAUGAAAAAGAGAGGAGUAAGAACUAACGUGUUUGUUUACAAUGUUUUGAUUGGUGGGUUAUGUAAGGAGAAGAGGAUAAGAGAUGCACAGAAGCUGUUUGAUGAAAUGAGGAGGAGGAAUUUGGUGGGGAGUACUGUCACUUAUAAUACGCUUAUUGAUGGAUAUUGUAAGGUUGGGGAGGUGGAUGCAGCAUUUAAAAUGAGAGAGAGGAUGAAGGAAGAGAAUGUGGCGAUGAAUCUCGUUACUUUCAACUCAUUGCUUAGUGGGCUUUGUAAGAUGAAGAGAAUGGAGGAGGCAAGAGAGAUGCUGAAAGAGAUGGAAGUGAAUGGUCUUGUGCCUGAUGGAUUUACUUACAGUAUAUUUUUUGAUGGGCUUUUGAAGAGUGCUGAUUGGAAUGGUGCUAUGGAUUUGUACGAGUUAGCUAGUGGAAAAGGAAUUAAGAUUGAUAAUUACACUGGUAGCAUUUUGUUGAACGGGUUAUGUAGAGAAGGAAAAGUUGAGAACGCAGAGGAGAUUUUGAAGAGGCUUACACAAAAUGGGCUUGUUCCAGAUGAGGUUAUCUAUAACACUAUUGUGAAGGGGUAUUGUCGAAAAGGUGACAUUAAUAAGGCCAUUACGACUAUCGAACAAAUGGAAAGUUUGGGGUUGAAGCCGAAUUGCAUUACGUUCAAUUCUUUGAUUGAUAAGUUCUGUGAAAUGCAGAAGAUGAAUGAGGUAGAGGAAUGGGUAAAGAAGAUGGCAGAGAAGGGAGUUGCGCCAAGAGUGGAAACAUUUAACAUCCUUAUCAAUGGUUAUGGAAAGUUAUGCACUUUUGAUAGGUGCUUCCAGAUUCUUGAAGAAAUGGAAGAGAUUGGGGUAAAGCCGAAUGUUGUGACCUUCGGUUCUCUCAUAAAUUGUUUAUGCAAGGAUGGAAAGAUUCUCGAGGCAGAAAUAGUCCUUAGGGAUAUGAUUGGAAGAGGGGUUUUGCCUAAUGCACAGAUAUACAAUAUGAUUAUCGAUGGGAGUUGUGCGGUGGGGAAAUUGAAAGAUGCAUUAAGGUUCUUUGACGAGAUGUUGAGAAGUGAAAUAGGCCCAACCCUUGUAACAUAUAAUGCACUUAUUAAUGGGCUCUGCAAGAAGGGAAGAUUGAUGGAAGCUGAAGACUUGCUUCCCCAAAUUACUAGGAGUGGUUAUAGUCCUGAUGUGAUCACAUACAACUCAUUAAUCUCUGGGUAUGCAAACGCAGGAAAUGCCCCAAAAUGUCUUGAGCUAUAUGAACUUAUGAAAAAGUUGGGCAUUAAACCUACUGUAAAUACAUUUCAUCCGCUAAUAAAUGGAUGCAGCAAAGAAGGGAUAGAGCUUGUAGAGACACUAUUUACUGAAAUGUUACAGUUGAAUUUGGCUCCUGAUCGAGUUGUGUAUAAUACAAUGAUUCAUAGUCAUGCGGAAAUUGGAAGUCUUCAAAAGGCAUAUGAAUUGUAUCAUGAGAUGGUAGACAAGGGAGUUCAAACAGACAAUAUGACUCUUCAUUGUUUGAUUCUGGGUCAUCUCAGACAGGGAGAGUUGUCAGAAAUUAAAGAUCUUGUUGACAGUAUGAAGGCUAAGGGAUUAGCCCCUAAAGCUGAUACAUAUAACAUUCUGAUUAAGGGUUAUUGUGACCAAAAGGAUUUUGGUGGAGCAUACGUUUGGUAUAGAGAAAUGAUGGAAAAUAAUUUCCUCCCUAGUGUUGGCAUUUGCAAGGAGCUUAUUGCUGGCCUUAAACAGGAGGGGAAGUUGAAAGAGGUCCUAGUUAUAUGCUCUGAAAUGAAUGUUAAAGGAAUGGAAGAUUGGUUCUCUAAUGAAGAGCUAUCUGCUGUUCCUACGAUGUAAGAGAGAGAUGCUAGGUACUAUUAUUGAUAAGCUUGCUCACAAUCAAGCUAUCAACACAGAAAAACGGGUAAUGUAUUGAAUGUCACCAUAUAUCUAGAUUCUUAUUAUUUUUUUCCUUUUUUUUGCCUUGUCAUUCUUAGAAACAUGAUCUGAAUUUGAAGAUAGCUUAUUACUUGUUUUUUCUGACCUCAGAAGCAAGGGUCCAUCAGACAUCACACAUAGAAUCAACAUUAAACCAGUGAAUAUAAGCUUCUAACAUGAAGACUUGGUGAGAUUUUUCAUCCGCCAUGAUUAUAAGUUAUCUGCUGCUGCCAAACAAUCAAGUCUGGUGCUAUUAUGCAUUUUUAUCUACUAUGUAGAUUUGGAUGAGAUUUUUUAUCUUCAUUGUCUAUAAGCCUCCCAACAAACAACAGGUGUUAAAUUUGUACAAUAAUAUUCGAAAACUUAAGCCUUGUAUAUAUCGUUUCUCGUUUGUCAUUUUCAUUCUAUUUUGUUUGAAUAAUACACUUGUAAAUUGCAGUCAUCUAAGAGCAUUGUUUAGAACACUGCGAAAAUCAAGUACUUGGUUAACAAUGUCAUUUUCAUUCACUUGCCCCGUGCCUCAACUAAAUAAUGUUUUUCUAAAAAGUAGUCUUUUGACUUCUCAAUCACAAUUUCAAACGGACAAAGAGUCUAAUCCGUUGAAGAGGAGUGCAGGAGAAUCAUUGAUCUCAAGUUACCUUAUG